rnacentral:rRNA from 1 species
AUUGAACGCUGGCGGCAUGCCUUACACAUGCAAGUCGAACGGUAACAGGUCUUCGGAUGCUGACGGGUGGCGAACGGGUGAGUAAUACAUCGGAACGUGCCCGAUCGUGGGGGAUAACGAGGCGAAAGCUUUGCUAAUACCGCAUACGAUCUACGGAUGAAAGCGGGGGAUCUUCGGACCUCGCGCGGACGGAGCGGCCGAUGGCAGAUUAGGUAGUUGGUGGGAUAAAAGCUUACCAAGCCGACGAUCUGUAGCUGGUCUGAGAGGAUGAUCAGCCACACUGGGACUGAGACACGGCCCAGACUCCUACGGGAGGCAGCAGUGGGGAAUUUUGGACAAUGGGCGAAAGCCUGAUCCAGCCAUGCCGCGUGCAGGAUGAAGGCCUUCGGGUUGUAAACUGCUUUUGUACGGAACGAAAAGCCUCUUUCUAAUAAAGAGGGGUCAUGACGGUACCGUAAGAAUAAGCACCGGCUAACUACGUG